UACGGGGGGGGCAAGAGUUGUUCGGAAUUAUUGGGCGUAAAGGGCUCGUAGGCGGUUUGUCGCGUCGGGAGUGAAAACCCAGGGCUUAACUCUGGGCUUGCUUUCGAUACGGGCAGACUAGAGGUAUGCAGGGGAGAACGGAAUUCCUGGUGUAGCGGUGAAAUGCGCAGAUAUCAGGAGGAACACCAAUGGCGAAGGCAGCUCACUGGGACGAUACUGACGCUGAGACGCGAAAGCGUGGGGAGCAAACAGG
rnacentral:rRNA from 1 species